rnacentral:rRNA from 1 species
UACGUAGGUGGCAAGCGUUGUCCGGAAUUAUUGGGCGUAAAGCGCGCGCAGGCGGCCUCUUAAGUCUGAUGUGAAAGCCCCCGGCUCAACCGGGGAGGGCCAUUGGAAACUGGGAGGCUUGAGUAUAGGAGAGAAGAGUGGAAUUCCACGUGUAGCGGUGAAAAUGCGUAGAGAUGUGGAGGAACACCAGUGGCGAAGGCGACUCUUUGGCCUAUAAACUGACGCUGAGGCGCGAAAGCGUGGGGAGCAAACAGG